rnacentral:rRNA from 1 species
UACGUACGAGGCAAGCGUUAUCCGGAAUACUGGGCGUAAAGCGCGCGCAGGCGGAUAUUUAAGUUGGGCGUGAAAUCCCCGGGCUUAACCUGGGAACUGCAUUUGUGACUGCAUGGCUCGAGUACGGUAGAGGGGGAUGGAAUUCCGCGUGUAGCAGUGAAAUGCGUAGAUAUGCGGAGGAACACCGAUGGCGAAGGCAGUCCCCUGGACCUGUACUGACGCUCAUGCACG